GUGUCAGCCGCCGCGGUAAUACGAAGGGGGCUAGCGUUGUUCGGAAUUACUGGGCGUAAAGCGCGCGCAGGCGGCUAUCCAAGUCAGUGGUGAAAGCCCGGAGCUCAACUCCGGAACUGCCAUUGAAACUGUUUAGCUUGAGUAUGAGAGAGGUGAGUGGAAUUCCCAGUGUAGAGGUGAAAUUCGUAGAUAUUGGGAAGAACACCGGUGGCGAAGGCGGCUCACUGGCUCAUUACUGACGCUCAGGCGCGACAGCGUGGGGAUCAAACAGGAUUAGAUACCCCGGUAGUCC
rnacentral:rRNA from 1 species